rnacentral:lncRNA from 1 species
GCAGGCUGCACUUGUGGUUUGUUGACAGGGACGCUUGGGAACAACCCCUCUGCAGAGAAGAGUUCCUGGGGCCAGGUGUGAUGGUACACACCUGUGAUCACAGCUUUCAGGCUGCGAGGAGGAGAUCAUAAUCCUGAGUCACAUUAGAGAGACCCUGCUGCAAAGACAAAGCAAGCCGGGCGUGGUACUGCUCACCGCUCACCGCUCACCGCUCACCGCUCACCGCUCACCGCUCACCGCUCACCGCUCACCGCUCACCGCUCACCGCUCACCUCUCACCUCUCACCUCUCACCUCUCACCUCUCACCUAUGGCCCUGGCCCUGUACGGGGAGGCAGAGGAGUUAGUACAAAAUCAGUAAGUCAGGGGCUGGAGAGACAGCUCGGUGGUUCAGGGUUCUUGCUGCACUUGCAGAGGACCUGAGCUUUGUAGCAUUCACAAUGGGCCGCUCACGUCUGCUUUUAAUUCCAGCCCCAGAGGAAUCCAACGCCCUCCUCACAGACACUGUGUUUACAUAUAAAAGCUACACGCCCAUACCCAUGCACAGGCAUAAAUAAUUAAAAAAUAAAGCUAAGCAUGGUGG